rnacentral:rRNA from 1 species
GCAGAACGCGAAGAACCUUACCAAGGCUUGACAUGCAUCGGAAACACUCAGAGAUGGGUGCCCCCUUUGGGUCGGUGUACAGGUGGUGCAUGGCUGUCGUCAGCUCGUGUCGUGAGAUGUUGGGUUAAGUCCCGCAACGAGCGCAACCCUUGUCCUGUGUUGCCAGCAGGCCCUUGUGGUGCUGGGGACUCACGGGAGACCGCCGGGGUCAACUCGGAGGAAGGUGGGGACGACGUCAAGUCAUCAUGCCCCUUAUGUCUUGGGCUGCACACGUGCUACAAUGGCCGGUACAAUGAGCUGCGAUACCGUGAGGUGGAGCGAAUCUCAAAAAGCCGGUCUCAGUUCGGAUUGGGGUCUGCAACUCGACCCCAUGAAGUCGGAGUCGCUAGUAAUCGCAGAUCAGCAUUGCUGCGGUGAAUACGUUCCCGGGUCUUGUACACAC